AUCCCAUAUGAAAUGAGAAGAUACUGGAGCAAAAGUGAUCUCACCUGCAUUCUUCCAGAAGGUGGAGCUCUAAGAACCAAUUGUAGUUCAGUCUCAGUUCAGAUUAAAAACAGAGCAGACAGACUUCUAUUGAGUCACUAAUACUCUAGGAGGAAACUGUAAGUCUUGGAUCUCUAAGUCAUUGUCUCUUAUUAGUGCAGAUGUUGCUCCUGGUAUUCACUAUAGUUUCUCUUCUAAAAGAGAAUGCUGCUGCAGAUGUGCCAACACCAUUCUUCACAGAGAAGCAUGUUUUGGAAGGAAAAGAUGUUACACUGAUCUGCAACUACACUGGCAAUGUUCAGAGUUUGCAGUGGUACCGUCAGUAUCCCGGAUCCAAACCUGAGAACAUAAUUUUAUACUUUGAAACCAGCCCCAAAUCAGAGCCCUCUCUCCGUCUGACCGCUGUAGCUGAUAAAGUCAUCAAACAUAUGAAUCUGACAAUCUCUUCUACAGAAGUCAAAGACUCUGCCAUGUACUAUUGUGCCCUGCAGCCCACAGUGACAGGAAACACAACUCCACCCUACAAAAACUGAGUGAGAAAUCAUAUUUAAGUCAGAAGACCAUUAAGCCCAUCAUGAUGCACAAUGUGGAUUUAAAAACAUCAGCACUGUACAACUAUCAAAUGUUUCAAGCAUCAAUGGGCUUUUCAUAUCUAUAUUAAUGGUUAAUAUUUCAGGGAAUCACGAGUCGACACACUAAAAGUUGUACAAAUACCAAUCUUAUUCCAACAUGUAGCAACUGAGUGUCCACUUAACACAGACUGUAAUAAAUGAAUUUGACUGG